UGCUUUAUAAUUCUGAUCAUCCGGAAUUUAGAACUUGGCAGGGAAUGGUUGGGAUAACCAUCAAUGAUACUUCAGAGCAACAAAUACGCAGAAACUUUUGCCUGUGUGUUCCCUUAGGCAACUAUAUUGAGGACAAGGGAUAAGGCGCAUUUCAAAACUCUGCACUUCCACAGCUUGCCAUCUACUACAAAAGGGAAUACCCUGGAGCUAUAAUUGUGAAACAACUCUAAGGAAACACAAGAAAGACAGAAAAAAAAAUAACACAGCCUUUCCCAACAGCACAACAAUCAAUAUGUUUGCUAUGGAGUAAGCCUCAUUAAGCGCAACAGGGUUUGCUUCUGCACAAAUAUAUAUUGAUUGCACUGCACAUCUGAAUUGAACAAGGAGUCCCACAGAAGAAUCUAAAGAUUCCUAUAAAGAAUACUCCCCUAGGCAUUCUAUGGCCGAUCUCCAGUGGAAGAACUGCUGCGGGGAAACUUUGCCCAUCUUAGUGGAACUAUUUUGUAUCCAUCCUUUUAUAAGAAGAACUAUGUUAUAUCAAAGAUUCCAAACAUUAAUUCAGUGCAAUACUGAUGAAAGCAGGCCAAACAAUUGUGAAAGUAAUGCAGAGUCUAAUCUGACUGUAUUUGUUGUUCCCAACAAAACCCCUACCCUACCUGAAGAAAGGAUGAGGGUUUUUUUUUUUUUUACAGCAAACAGUUCCUGCCUGGAUGUGAUAAGAGAUUGAGAUGCUACUCAGGAUAGAAGCCCUAUACAUUUUGGAAAGUAAUACAAGUCUUUAUUGGGGGCACUUACUCAAUGUUUCAGUCCACCUUCAUAAACUGUAAUUACAUGACAAUGAGAAUGA